rnacentral:rRNA from 1 species
UUACGGAGGGUGCGAGCGUUAAUUGGAAUUACUGGGCGUAAAGCGCAUGCAGGUGGUUUGUUAAGUCAGAUGUGAAAGCCCGGGGCUCAACUUCGGAAUUGCAUUUGAAACUGGCAAACUAGAGUACUGUAGAGGGGGGUAGAAUUUCAGGUGUAGCGGUGAAAUGCGUAGAGAUCUGAAGGAAUACCGGUGGCGAAGGCGGCCCCCUGGACAGAUACUGACACUCAGAUGCGAAAGCGUGGGGAGCAAACAGGAUUAGAUACCCUGGUAGUCCACGCCGUAAACGAUGUCUACUUGGAGGUUGUGGCCUUGAGCCGUGGCUUUCGGAGCUAACGCGUUAAGUAGACCGCCUGGGGAGUACGGUCGCAAGAUUAAAACUCAAAUGAAUUGACGGGGGCCCGCACAAGCGGUGGAGCAUGUGGUUUAAUUCGAUGCAACGCGAAGAACCUUACCUACUCUUGACAUCUACAGAAGCCAGCGGAGACGCAGGUGUGCCUUCGGGAACUGUAAGACAGGUGCUGCAUGGCUGUCGUCAGCUCGUGUUGUGAAAUGUUGGGUUAAGUCCCGCAACGAGCGCAACCCUUAUCCUUGUUUGCCAGCACUUCGGGUGGGAACUCCAGGGAGACUGCCGGUGAUAAACCGGAGGAAGGUGGGGACGACGUCAAGUCAUCAUGGCCCUUACGAGUAGGGCUACACACGUGCUACAAUGGCGCAUACAGAGGGCGGCCAACUUGCGAAAGUGAGCGAAUCCCAAAAAGUGCGUCGUAGUCCGGAUUGGAGUCUGCAACUCGACUCCAUGAAGUCGGAAUCGCUAGUAAUCGUGGAUCAGAAUGCCACGGUGAAUACGUUCCCGGGCCUUGUACACACCGCCCGUCACACCAUGGGAGUGGGCUGCAAAAGAAGUGGGUAGUUUAACCUUCGGGAGGACGCUCACCACUUUGUGGUUCAUGACUGGGGUGAAGUCGUAACAAGGUAACCG